GGAUUAUGGCUCAGUGGUAGAGCACUUGCCUCACUCGUGCAAGGCCCUGGGUUCAAUCCUCAGCACCA
rnacentral:tRNA from 1 species